rnacentral:rRNA from 1 species
ACGGGAGGCAGCAGUGGGGAAUAUUGCACAAUGGGCGAAAGCCUGAUGCAGCAACGCCGCGUGAGGGACGACGGCCUUCGGGUUGUAAACCUCUUUUAGUAGGGAAGAAGCGAAAGUGACGGUACCUGCAGAAAAAGCACCGGCUAACUACGUGCCAGCAGCCGCGGUAAUACGUAGGGUGCAAGCGUUGUCCGGAAUUAUUGGGCGUAAAGAGCUCGUAGGCGGUUUGUCGCGUCUGCUGUGAAAACUGGAGGCUCAACCUCCAGCCUGCAGUGGGUACGGGCAGACUAGAGUGCGGUAGGGGAGAUUGGAAUUCCUGGUGUAGCGGUGGAAUGCGCAGAUAUCAGGAGGAACACCGAUGGCGAAGGCAGAUCUCUGGGCCGUAACUGACGCUGAGGAGCGAAAGCAUGGGGAGCGAACAGGAUUAGAUACCCUGGUA